UGCAAGUGCUGCAUGGUUGUCGUCAGCUCGUGCCGUGAGGUGUCGGGUUAAGUCCCAUAACGAGCGCAACCUUAUCGUUAGUUACCAUCAGGUUAAGCUGGGGACUCUAGCGGGACUGCCACCGUAAGGUGAGAGGAAGUGGGGAUGACGUCAAAUCAGCACGGCCCUUAUGUCCAGGGCUACACACGUGUUACAAUGGCCGGUACAAAGGGCAGCUACUUCGCGAGAAGAUGCUAAUCUCGAAAGCCGGUCUCAGUUCGGAUCGAAGUCUGCAACCCGACUUCGUGAAGCUGGAUUCGCUAGUAAUCGCGCAUCAGCCAUGGCGCGGUGAAUACGUUCCCGGGCCUU
rnacentral:rRNA from 1 species